rnacentral:misc_RNA from 1 species
AUGGCUGGGUUUCCAUAUCUCCCUGAUCAGUGAAAAAAUUAAAAAUUAGAAAAACAAAAAUAACUAUUUAAAAUAAAAGAAACUGAACAUAAGAUUGCUAAAUUAGGUUAAUGAAGAACUAAUAUCUUUUACAACCCAAAAAAAAAGAAAGGAAGCCUGAUUUAACAUUGUGAUUUUCUUAAAGAAUUUCUGACAUUGUUUAUCAAUCAAAUACCUUGAUGUUGAUGAGAGUAUUAUCCCCCAUGUGCAUAUUUAAGAGUUAAGAGAGAUCACAAACCUCUAGCAUACUUUCAUCGAUAU